rnacentral:rRNA from 1 species
UACGUGAGGGGCAAGCGUUGUCCGGAAUCAUUGGGCGUAAAGGGCGCGUAGGCGGGUAUUUAAGUUUGGUGUGAAAACCUAGGGCUCAACCCUGGGACUGCAUCGAAAACUGGAUAUCUUGAGGACAGGAGAGGAAAGUGGAAUUCCACGUGUAGCGGUGAAAUGCGUAGAUAUGUGGAGGAACACCAGUGGCGAAGGCGACUUUCUGGACUGUAACUGACGCUGAGGCGCGAAAGCGUGGGGAGCAAACAGGG